CGGCCACGUUACGACCAUAACACCGUUUCUCGUAAGAUCACCGAAGAUAAGCAAGGUUGGGCCAGGUUAGUAUCUAGAUGGGUGACAGCUUGGGAAUACCAGGUGUUGUAAG